rnacentral:lncRNA from 1 species
GUAAAGAAGUUUUUAAAUGGGCUGAAAAACAAUCAUUUUGUGAUUGAUUUAAUGAGAGCACAUGAUUUCAGUAAACAUUGGAUAGUAAAUAAUGAUGGUUUUGUGCAACUUAAAUCUUAGCACAACUACAUUACGUCAAAGUUGAUGCAAGAAGUUGGUCUGUAGGCUGUAAUAGAUGUUUAUGUAUAAUGUUUUAUCUUCCGAAUUAGUUUGAUCAAACUGUCUGAUCAUCUAAUUGCUCGCGUUGCCACAUGUGACUUCUUUUCAGGUAUAUCAGCAUUGUCAUCAUGUCCAACAGAAAGGAUGGCCAAAUCUACAAAACUACUCCAGUGUAACAUUUGAAAGGAUCUAUUGGCAUGAAAAAUUUAAUUUAAUAUUCAUAGGUAUGUUUUCAUUUGUGUCAUUUUGAACCACUAUGUUUCUACAGUAGCCCAGACCGGACAAAGCAUACACUGGCUCUAGGUAGGGCCACCGUAGUUUCUUCAGUAUUCAGUUGGUUGCAAUCUGUAAACACAUUGAAUCCUUUAAUGAUGACAUUUUGUACUAGUUAAUGUGACAUGAAAAUAACAUCUGAUGUGCAAACCAAAAUAGAUUUUUAAUUGGAUAAUUAUGUAAUUGUCUUACAUAAGAACACUUGAAAUAAAAAGGUUUUUAACUGUUUUGUGUGUCUUUGAAUUAUUUAUCUUCAAUAUUUGUAUCUCAUAAAAACUGAGCCUGAAAGUUAAUUCUUGAGCAUCAAUGUUGUAGUUUGACACAAAAAACCCCUCUCUUACCUGUUUGUUUUUACUCAUUUCCAUAUUUAGGUCACACGAUGACAACUGAGCCAUUUUUAUGACAGAUGGGCAAACUCCAGUUGCUGCUGAAGACCAUGAGAUGAGUCUGAAAGCUCUAGAAAACACUAGUGCUGGUUCAGCAGUGAGAAGAAGAUAAGAUGCCAUUCUGCUGAUCUCAGUCCACAUCCAUCCGUCUACAUCCCAAAUCUUCCCAAGGGCCGCCGGGACGAGGCGUCCUCUUCGCAGCCUUUUCCCUCUGCAGGUCAGGCGGCGUCCACACAGUUUCAUCUCGUCUCGCAGGUUCGACCGACGCCUGACGAAGAACAUCUGCCCGCCGAAAAUUCACAAGCUGCCACAGAAACGACACCAACAGUCGGUUUGUGUUUCUGCUGCCACACAGUGUCACCGACAGUGUUGAAUGUUGACGCAUCUGUUGUGCUGUUGAGUUAGCUGCGUUUCAACAAGUUUCCAUGUGAUCUUCAGGGAUUAAAACAACAACACAGGAUUCAAAUUUGGACUCAGGUGUGGGCGGGAGGGGGGGGUGCAAAUGUGUCAUUGUAUGAAAAAUAUUUAACAUGU